UACGAAGGGUGCAAGCGUUACUCGGAAUUACUGGGCGUAAAGCGUGCGUAGGCGGUGAGUUAAGUCUGAUGUGAAAUCCCCGGGCUCAACCUGGGAAUGGCAUUGGAUACUGGCUCGCUAGAGUACGGUAGAGGGUGGUGGAAUUCCGCGUGUAGCAGUGAAAUGCGUAGAGAUGCGGAGGAACACCGAUGGCGAAGGCAGCCCCCUGGGCCAAUACUGACGCUCAGGCACGAAAGCGUGGGGAGCAAACAGG
rnacentral:rRNA from 1 species